rnacentral:rRNA from 1 species
CGGCGUGCUUAACACAUGCAAGUCGAGCGGUAAGGCCCUUUGGGGUACACGAGCGGCGAACGGGUGAGUAACACGUGGGUGACCUGCCCCCUACUCUGGGAUAAGCUUGGGAAACUGGGUCUAAUACCGGAUAUGACUACAUGUCGCAUGGUGUGUGGUGGAAAGAUUUAUUGGUGGGGGAUGGGUCCGCGGCCUAUCAGCUUGUUGGUGGGGUGAUGGCCUACCAAGGCGACGACGGGUAGCCGGCCUGAGAGGGCGACCGGCCACACUGGGACUGAGACACGGCCCAGACUCCUACGGGAGGCAGCAGUGGGGAAUAUUGCGCAAUGGGCGGAAGCCUGACGCAGCGACGCCGCGUGGGGGAUGACGGCCUUCGGGUUGUAAACCUCUUUCGGCCCCGACGAAGCGUGAGUGACGGUAGGGGUAGAAGAAGCACCGGCCAACUACGUGCCAGCAGCCGCGGUAAUACGUAGGGUGCGAGCGUUGUCCGGAAUUAUUGGGCGUAAAGAGCUCGUAGGUGGUCUGUCGCGUCGAUCGUGAAAACUUGGGCUUAACCCUGAGCUUGCGGUCGAUACGGGCAUGACUGGAGUUCGGCAGGGAGACUGGAAUUCCUGGUGUAGCGGUGAAAUGCGCAGAUAUCAGGAGGAACACCGGUGGCGAAGGCGGGUCUCUGGCGAUACUGACGCUGAGAGCGAAAGCGUGGGGAGCGAACAGGAUUAGAUACCUGGUAGUCCACGCCGUAAACGGUGGGCGCUAGGUGUGGGGNCAUUCCACGGUCUCUGUGCCGUAGCUACGCAUUAGGCGCCCCGCUGGGGAGU